rnacentral:rRNA from 1 species
AGUGAACGCUGGCGGUAUGCCUAACACAUGCAAGUCGAACGGCAGCACAGUAAGCGCUUGCUCUUACGGUUGGCGAGUGGCGGGCGGGUGAGGAAUACAUCGGCAUCUACUUUUUCGUGGGGGAUAACGUAGGGAAACUUACGCUAAUACCGCAUACUACCUACGGGUUAAAUCAGGAGAGCUUCGCACCUUUCGCGAUUGUAUUAGCCGAUGUCGGAUUAGCUAGUUGGCGAGGUAAGGGCCCACCAAGGCGACGAUCCGUAGCUGGUCUGAGAGGAUGAUCAGCCACACUGGAACUGAGACACGGUCCAGACUCCUACGGGAGGCAGCAGUGGGGAAUAUUGGACAAUGGGCGCAAGCCUGAUCCAGCCAUACCGCGUGGGUGAAGAAGGCCUUCGGGUUGUAAAGCCCUUUUGUUGGGAAAGAAAAGCAGCAGGUUAAUACCCCGCUGUUCUGACGGUACCCAAAGAAUAAGCACCGGCUAACUUCGUG